rfam:Hordeum vulgare subsp. vulgare, WGS project CAJW01000000 data, contig: morex_contig_62775
AAACUACUCCCUCGGUCCAAAAAUUCUUGUCUUAGGUCUGUCUAAAAAUGGAUGUAUUUAAAUACUAAAACGUGACUAGGUACAUUCACAUCUAAACAAAUGUACGACAAGAAUUUUGAAACGGAGGGAGUAUAAU